CGCGAGAUGGAGCAGUUUGGUAGCUCGUCGGGCUCAUAACCCGAAGGUCGUAGGUUCGAAUCCUGCUCUCGCAA
rnacentral:tRNA from 1 species